UACGUAGGGCGCAAGCGUUGUCCGGAAUUAUUGGGCGUAAAGAGCUCGUAGGCGGUUUGUCGCGUCUGCUGUGAAAUCCCGAGGCUCAACCUCGGGCUUGCAGUGGGUACGGGCAGACUAGAGUGCGGUAGGGGAGAUUGGAAUCCUGGUGUAGCGGUGGAAUGCGCAGAUAUCAGGAGGAACACCGAUGGCGAAGGCGGUUCUCUGGGCAUUACCUGACGCUGAGGAGCGAAAGUGUGGGGAGCGAACAGG
rnacentral:rRNA from 1 species